rnacentral:rRNA from 1 species
AUUGAACGCUGGCGGCAGGCCUAACACAUGCAAGUCGAGCGGAUGAAGGGAGCUUGCUCCUGGAUUCAGCGGCGGGCGGGCGAGUAAUGCCCAGGAAUAUGCCUGGUAGAGGGGGAUAACGUCCGGACACGGGCGCUAAUACCGCAUCCGUCCUGAGGGUGAAAGUGGGGGAUCUUCGGACCUCACGCUAUCAGAUGAGCCUAGGUCGGAUUAGCUAGUUGGUGGGGUAAAGGCCUACCAAGGCGACGAUCCGUAACUGGUCUGAGAGGAUGAUCAGUCACACUGGAACUGAGACACGGUCCAGACUCCUACGGGAGGCAGCAGUGGGGAAUAUUGGACAAUGGGCGAAAGCCUGAUCCAGCCAUGCCGCGUGUGUGAAGAAGGUCUUCGGAUUGUAAAGCACUUUAAGUUGGGAGGAAGGACAGUAAGUUAAUACCUUGCUGUUUUGACGUUACCAACAGAAUAAGCACCGGCUAACUUCGUG